rnacentral:rRNA from 1 species
GAUGAACGCUGGCGGCGUGCCUAAUACAUGCAAGUCGAGCGAACAGACGAGGAGCUUGCUCCUCUGACGUUAGCGGCGGACGGGUGAGUAACACGUGGAUAACCUACCUAUAAGACUGGGAUAACUUCGGGAAACCGGAGCUAAUACCGGAUAAUAUAUUGAACCGCAUGGUUCAAUAGUGAAAGACGGUUUUGCUGUCACUUAUAGAUGGAUCCGCGCCGCAUUAGCUAGUUGGUAAGGUAACGGCUUACCAAGGCAACGAUGCGUAGCCGACCUGAGAGGGGGAUCGGCCAAACGGGAACGGAGACAGGGUCCAACCCCCUACGGGAGGAAGCAGUGGGGAACCUUCCGCAAGGGGCGAAAGCCGGACGGGGCAACGCCGCGUGAGUGAUGAAGGUCUUCGGUUCGUAAAACUCUGUUAUUAGGGAAGAACAAAGGGGUAAGUAACUAUGCACGUCUUGACGGUACCUAAUCAGAAAGCCCCGGCUACCUACGU